rnacentral:rRNA from 1 species
UACGUAGGGUGCGAGCGUUGUCCGGAAUUAUUGGGCGUAAAGAGCUCGUAGGCGGUUUGUCACGUCUGCUGUGAAAUCCCGGAGGCUCAACCUCGGGCCUGCAGUGGGUACGGGCAGACUGGAGUGCGGUAGGGGAGAAUGGAAUUCCUGGUGUAGCGGUGGAAUGCGCAGAUAUCAGGAGGAACACCGGUGGCGAAGGCGGGUCUCUGGGCAGUAACUGACGCUGAGGAGCGAAAGCGUGGGGAGCGAACAGG